rnacentral:rRNA from 1 species
GAUGAACGCUGGCGGCGUGCCUAAUACAUGCAAGUCGAGCGAAAAGAUGAGGAGCUUGCUCCUCUGACGUUAGCGGCGGACGGGUGAGUAACACGUGGAUAACCUACCUAUCAGACUGGGCUAACUUCGGGAAACCGGAGCUAAUACCGGAUAAUAUAUUUACACGCAUGGUUCAAUAGUGAAAGACGGUUUUGCUGUCACUUAUAGAUGGAUUCGCGCCGCAUUAGCUAGUUGGUAAGGUAACGGCUUACCAAGGCAACGAUGCGUAGCCGACCUGAGAGGGUAGUCAGCCACACUGGAACGGAGACACGGUCCAGACUCCUACGGGAGGCAGCAGUAGGGAAUCUUCCGCAAUGGGCGAAAGCCUGACGGAGCAACGCCGCGUGAGUGAUGAAGGUCUUCGGAUCGGAAUACUCUGUUAUUAGUGAAGAACAAAUGUGUAAGUAACUAUGCACGUCUUGACGGUACCUAAUCAGAAAGCCACGGCUAACUACGUG